GAACGCUGGCGGCGUGCUUAACACAUGCAAGUCGAACGAGCUCCACCCAGUGGCAACACUGGGGAAGAGCGAGUGGCGAACGGGUGAGUAACACGUGAGCAACCUGCCUCGAAGACUGGGAUAACAGCGGGAAACCGCUGCUAAUACCGGAUACCCCCAUCGGGUCGCAUGGCCUGAUGAGGAAAUGAAUUUCGCUUCGAGAGGGGCUCGCGGGCUAUCAGCUUGUUGGUGGGGUAACGGCCUACCAAGGCGACGACGGCUAGCUGGUCUGAGAGGACGACCAGCCACACUGGGACUGAGACACGGCCCAGACUCCUACGGGAGGCAGCAGUGGGAAUCUUGCGCAAUGGGCGAAAGCCUGACGCAGCAACGCCGCGUGCGGGAUGAAUGCCUUCGGGUUGUAAACCGCUUUCAGCAGGGACGAAAUUGACGGUACCUGCAGAAGAAGCCCCGGCCAACUACGUGCCAGCAGCCGCGGUAAUACGUAGGGGGCGAGCGUUGUCCGGAUUCAUUGGGCGUAAAGCGCUUUAAGGCGGUUCGGUAAGUCGCGUGUGAAACCUCCAGGCUCAACCUGGAGACGCCACGCGAUACUGCCGUGACUAGAGUCCGGUAGGGGACCACGGAAUUCCUGGUGUAGCGGUGAAAUGCGCAGAUAUCAGGAGGAACACCAGUGGCGAAGGCGGUGGUCUGGGCCGGUACUGACGCUGUAGAGCGAAAGCGUGGGGAGCGAACAGGAUUAGAUACCCUGGUAGUCCACGCCGUAAACGUUGGGCACUAGGUGUGGGGGGUUAUCAACGCCUUCCGUGCCGUAGCUAACGCAUUAAGUGCCCCCGCUGGGGAGUACGGCCGCAGGGCU
rnacentral:rRNA from 1 species